rnacentral:rRNA from 1 species
AUGUUAUUAAAACAUUUGUGGUGCAGCCUGUUAGAAAACUCCGUUUUCCAGUCAACAGUUCACUUGCUUUCUAAUGCAUGUAAUAUUGCUGACUUUUCUUCAAGUGCUAUCUGGUUUGUGUGCAGUUUAUGGUUCAGUGUAUCAAUGCAAGUAGUUUAUGGCUCAGUAUAUCACUGCAAGUUCCUAACACCGUCAAAUUUUAGUGUUUUUGUAUUUUUUGUCGAUGCAAACAUGUUCUUCGACUAUAAGACAAUAGAGGUUUGUUUUCUUACCAGGUGUAAUAUUUUUUUGAUGCAUUGCAGAGUUUGCUAUCAAACUCUCAAGCAGCAAGAAGAUAGCCAACCUAAAUGA